rnacentral:rRNA from 1 species
AUUCGCCCUUCCAGACUCCUACGGGAGGCAGCAGUGGGGAAUAUUGCACAAUGGGCGGAAGCCUGAUGCAGCAACGCCGCGUGCGGGAUGACGGCCUUCGGGUUGUAAACCGCCUUCGCCUGUGACGAAGCGUGAGUGACGGUAAUGGGUAAAGAAGCACCGGCUAACUACGUGCCAGCAGCCGCGGUGAUACGUAGGGUGCGAGCGUUGUCCGGAUUUAUUGGGCGUAAAGGGCUCGUAGGUGGUUGAUCGCGUCGGAAGUGUAAUCUUGGGGCUUAACCCUGAGCGUGCUUUCGAUACGGGUUGACUUGAGGAAGGUAGGGGAGAAUGGAAUUCCUGGUGGAGCGGUGGAAUGCGCAGAUAUCAGGAGGAACACCAGUGGCGAAGGCGGUUCUCUGGGCCUUUCCUGACGCUGAGGAGCGAAAGCGUGGGGAGCGAACAGGCUUAGAUACCCUGGUAGUCCACGCUGUAAACGGUGG